rnacentral:rRNA from 1 species
CCUACGGGUGGCAGCAGUGAGGAAUAUUGGUCAAUGGACGAAAGUCUGAAGCAGCCAUGUAGCGUGAAGGAUGACUGCCCUCUGGGUUGUAAACUUCUUCUAUAAAGGAAUAAAACGAGGCACGUGUGCCUUUUUGCAUGUACUUUAUGAAUAAGGAUCGGCUAACUCCGUGCCAGCAGCCGCGGUACUACGGAGGAUCCGAGCGUUAUGCGGAUUUAUUGGGUGUAAAGGGAGCGUAGAUGGGUGGUUAAGUCAGUUGUGAAAGUCUGCGGCUCAACCCUAAAAUUGCAAUUGAUACUGGCAGUCUUGAGUACAGUUGAGGGAGGUGGAAUUCGUGGUGUAGCGGUGAAAUGCUUAGAUAUCACGAAGAACCCCGAUUGCGAAGGCAGCUUACUAAACUGUGACUGACAUUGAUGCUCGAAAGUGUGGGUAGCAAACAGGAUUAGAUACCCCUGUAGUC